rnacentral:rRNA from 1 species
AGAGUUUGUUCAGGGCUCAGGACGAACGCUGGCGGCGUGCUUAACACAUGCAAGUCGAACGGUGAUGGUGGGGCUUGCUCCACUGGAUCAGUGGCGAACGGGUGAGUAACACGUGAGUAACCUGCCCCUGACUCUGGGAUAAGCCUUGGAAACGAGGUCUAAUACCGGAUAUGUGACGUUCAGGCAUCUGAUGCGUCUGGAAAGAUUUAUCGGUCAGGGAUGGGCUCGCGGCCUAUCAGCUUGUUGGUGGGGUGAUGGCCUACCAAGGCGACGACGGGUAGCCGGCCUGAGAGGGCGACCGGCCACACUGGGACUGAGACACGGCCCAGACUCCUACGGGAGGCAGCAGUGGGGAAUAUUGCACAAUGGGCGCAAGCCUGAUGCAGCGACGCCGCGUGAGGGAUGAAGGCCUUCGGGUUGUAAACCUCUUUCAGCAGGGAAGAAGCGAAAGUGACGGUACCUGCAGAAGAAGCGCCGGCUAACUACGUGCCAGCAGCCGCGGUAAUACGUAGGGCGCAAGCGUUGUCCGGAAUUAUUGGGCGUAAAGAGCUCGUAGGCGGUUUGUCGCGUCUGCUGUGAAAACUCGAGGCUCAACCUCGGGCUUGCAGUGGGUACGGGCAGACUAGAGUGCGGUAGGGGAGACUGGAAUUCCUGGUGUAGCGGUGGAAUGCGCAGAUAUCAGGAGGAACACCGAUGGCGAAGGCAGGUCUCUGGGCCGCAACUGACGCUGAGGAGCGAAAGCAUGGGGAGCGAACAGGAUUAGAUACCCUGGUAGUCCAUGCCGUAAACGUUGGGCACUAGGUGUGGGGCUCAUUCCACGAGUUCCGUGCCGCAGCAAACGCAUUAAGUGCCCCGCCUGGGGAGUACGGCCGCAAGGCUAAAACUCAAAGAAAUUGACGGGGGCCCGCACAAGCGGCGGAGCAUGCGGAUUAAUUCGAUGCAACGCGAG